rnacentral:rRNA from 1 species
GACGAACGCUGGCGGCGUGCUUAACACAUGCAAGUCGAGCGGUAAGGCCCUUUCGGGGGUACACGAGCGGCGAACGGGUGAGUAACACGUGGGUGACCUGCCCUCAGCUCUGGGAUAAGCCUGGGAAACCGGGUCUAAUACCGGAUAUGACUCCAUGACGCAUGUUGUGGGGUGGAAAGCCUUGUGCGGCUGAGGAUGGGCCCGCGGCCUAUCAGCUUGUUGGUGGGGUGANGGCCUACCAAGGCGACGACGGGUAGCCGGCCUGAGAGGGCGACCGGCCACACUGGGACUGAGACACGGCCCAGACUCCUACGGGAGGCAGGCAGUGGGGAAUCUUGCGCAAUGGGCGAAAGCCCUGACGCAGCGACGCCGCGUGAGGGAU